UGGGGCUAAUGCUCCAUAGUGGAUAUGUCCUGGAAUGGUAUAUCCUCGAAAGAUCCGUCGCCUUAGGAUGGGACUGCGUCCGAUUAGGUUGUUGGCGGGGUAACGGCCCACCAAGCCUUUUAUCGGUACGGGUUGUGGGAGCAAGAUCCCGGAGAUGGAUUCUGAGACAUGAAUCCAGGCCCUACGGGGCGCAGCAGGCGCGCAAACUUUACAAUGCGAGCAAUCGUGAUAAGGAAACCCUGAGUGCCUGUCGAUGCAGGCUGUUCAUAUAUCUAAAUCAUAUGUGAAGAAAGGGCAGGGCAAGACCGGUGCCAGCCGCCGCGGUAAUACCGGCUGCUCGAGUGAUGGCCACUAUUACUGGGUUUAAAGCGUCCGUAGCUUGACUGUUAGGUCUCUUGGGAAAUCUUCGCGCUCAACGUGAAGGCGUCUAAGAGAUACCGGCAGUCUUGGAACUGGGAGAGGUAAACCGUACUUCGGGGGUAGGAGUGAAAUCUUGUAAUCCUCGAGGGACGACCUAUGGCGAAGGCAGUUUACCAGAACAGCUUCGACAGUGAGGGACGAAAGCUGGGGGAGCAAACGGGAUUAGAUACCCCGGUAGUCCCAGCCGUAAACAAUGUGCGUUAGGUGUGUCGGUAACCACGUGUUACUGAUGCGCCGAAGAGAAAUCGUGAAACGCACCACCUGGGAAGUACGGUCGCAAGGCUGAAACUUAAAGGAAUUGGCGGGGGAGCACCACAACAGGUGGAGCCUGCGGUUUAAUU
rnacentral:rRNA from 1 species